GCUGAUUAGGGCUCCUCAAGGAGGCUGAUGACCUUCUUCUCCCUUUCACAGAGGGAUGAGGAAUGGCCAGUGCCUGGAUGUCCUGAUGUUGGGAAGAGCAGGACGUGGAGCUCGGAGCACUGGAGCGGUGCAUUACGCCAUAACUGCAGGCAAUCACUACGGAGAUGUUUAGUCUGGAAGGAUCCACAGAAUGUAUUUCUCACACCGCCUACUUGCUGCAAAGCAUUCUCCAAUGACUUAUUUAAGACCUAA
rnacentral:lncRNA from 1 species